AUCCAUCUGACGAGUCCAAAAUAGGGCGAAAUAUGAGUUCUGGAU
rnacentral:hammerhead_ribozyme from 1 species